CCUACCUGCCAUGUCUGUUUGUCAGCCACGUACCCUAUACCUGAGCGAGGUGCAUGUUACUGUUCUUUAAAUCUAGACUCAGUAUCAACGGCAUCACGAGGGCUGACUAUCUCCUUCUCCAAUCAGUGAAACUGAUCUCCCCGUGAAGAAGCGGGGAUUGACCUAUAAGACGAGAAGACCCCAUGGAGCUUUAAACCCAACACACACCUCUACUCACUCAAAUCAACAUAACCCAAGAGACUUAUGUAUUGGUUUUAGGUUGGGGGGACCGCGGAGUAAAAUCAAACCUCCAUGACAGACGGACUAACACCCUUAUCCAUGAACCACAAUUCUAAGAGCCAAUAAAUUGUUGUCUAAUGACCCAAUUACUUGAUCAACGAACCAAGUUACCCUGGGGAUAACAGCGCAAUCUACUCAAGAGCCCUAUCGACAAGUAGGUUUACGACCUCGAUGUUGGAUCAGGGUAUCCUAGUGGUGCAGCCGCUACUAAAGGUUCGUUUGUUCAACGAUUAAAACCCU
rnacentral:rRNA from 1 species